rnacentral:rRNA from 1 species
CCUACGGGAGGCAGCAGUAAGGAAUAUUGGACAAUGGCCGCAAGGCUGAUCCAGCCAUGCCGCGUGCAGGAAGAAGGCCCUAUGGGUCGUAAACUGCUUUUGAACCAGAGAAAACCCCACUACGUGUAGUGGGCUGAUAGUAUGGUUAGAAUAAGCAUCGGCUAACUUCGUGCCAGCAGCCGCGGUAAGACGAAGGAUGCAAGCGUUAUCCGGAUUCAUUGGGUUUAAAGGGAGCGUAGGCGGACUUGUAAGUCAGUGGUGAAAUCUGUGGGCUUAACCCACAAACUGCCAUUGAUACUGCAGGUCUAGAGUACAGUUGCCGUUGGCGGAAUAUGACAUGUAGUGGUGAAAUACUUAGAUAUGUCAUAGAACACCGAUUGCGAAGGCAGCUAACGAAGCUGUAACUGACGCUGAGGCUCGAAAGUGCGGGGAUCAAACAGGAUUAGAUACCCUGGUAGUCCGCACUGUAAACGAUGAUUACUCGUUGCUGGAAAGCAAUUUUCAGUGACCAAGCGAAAGCGAUAAGUAAUCCACCUGGGGAGUACGCCGGCAACGGUGAAACGUCAAAGGAAUUGACGG